GUGCUCCAGAGUAAAUUUUUAGAAAUUAAAAUGACCUCUACGAUUCUAUUGCUGCUUUUAGCGUGCGUCACGAUCUGCGUCAAAUCAUCACCUCUCCCUCAAACAAGCACAGAGGGAGGGAAUAAGAAGUCGCCUUCAGUUCCAGGCGUAGGUAUAAGCACAGGCUUUGACGAGAUAGUUGUGGAGUCGAGUCUGAACAUUCGCGGUAAACAACCGGAGAAACGUCAGUCGAGACACCGCACGGCGCUCGUCAUACCGCAUAUGAUCCCCAAGAAGUUCUCCGAGAGCCCUAACUCAAAAUACAACCACACGGAGGAUCCCGCCGAGAGUAAAUCAUCGACGGAGAGAGUGAAAGAAGAUAGACAGUAUGAGAAACCUGAAAAGCCCAAAAAACAAAAUCGAAGGUCCACGACGACGACAACAACAUCCGAAACGACUACCGAGGAAGAAACGUAGACCAGUUACUUACGCAUUAAAAGCCUUCUUGCGGUUGUAUGCAUUUUCCGCACGAAAUCUGGGAUUUUGACAUUUCCACACAAUCCAGGUCAAUCCAGGUUUUUGUACGAAAAUGUCAAAAUUGAAAAUUUUAUGUGGAAAUGUCAAAAUUGAAAAUUUUGUGCGGAAAUGUCAAGUUGUCAACCCACCUUUCUGGCGACCAACGAAUCGUCGUUUUCCGGACAAAGGAACGUACCUUCAUUCCGAAGUUGCAAAAGUGAUUCAAAGAAUUCAAUUUUUUUACAGGAGUGCACCUGUGCGAUUUUAGUUCAAAAUUUGUCUAUUUUUUUUUUUAUGAGAUCGGAAGAAAAUUCGGUGAAAUUUUCAGAUAGAAAUGCCUGAGAUUCUCCGGGUGAAAAAAGCGAUUUGCGAGGGAAAAUUUGGCUACAUUGGAAUGUAGUUACGUUCGAUCGUGGGGGAAACGACGAAAUGUCCGGCACUGAGAAUAGGUCGGCUGCACAAGUUACAGAAUAAAAUAUGGAUGGUUGGUACUCAAAAAUAAGCGGAAAACAAAUGAUUAUAUCCUCUCAAACAUUUCUCUGCAGGUCGAAUUAAGCUAACUCCGCUACUGUGUUUAAGAUCUUGGAAUGAAAUCCAAGGUGCAUUUUACUCCGGACCGCAUUUAACUGCCGAACAACUCCACAGUUUUAAUGCGUUAAAUUGCAAACUAUUGAAGUUGAAAUAAUAAACUUUUUUAAGGGAAAAUGCUGGUUUUUUCUCUCUCUUUCUUUUGAGUUAAUGUCUCCUUUCUCUACUAGGCCUCAAUUCCACCCUUUAUCCUACAAAAAAUUCUUUGAGAUUCUGAAGAUGGAAGUUUAAGUAUGAUGCUUUUUUCACUUUUCGAACUAGAAACCAAAUUUAAAUUUUUUGUAACUACAGUCUGUUUUGGAAAAUAUAAUUUUGUUAGUUUCUUUACUGAACCCCCUGAGGCGCGCCUUCCACAUGCAUACAAUGCUACAUUUCUUACUUUCUCUGAACUAAAGUUGUUGAUUGCCAAGUCCGCCAAAAAACAAUUGUCAGCCUCCUGUGGUGUGCUUAGCUGUUGUAGCGCUGACUCUAACCAGGAGCUGACCUCUUGACUAGGAGGUUCCGGAUUCGAUUCUCGACAAGGCAACCUGGGUAAAAAAAAAUACACAGAUUUCAGUCAAAGUUUUGGAAGCUACAUAAUUGAGGUAUUGAGAGAGUUAGGGGCAAAAGGCAUUGG
rnacentral:lncRNA from 1 species